AUUUCAAAAGCAAUUUAUGAAUAAGCCAUGUUCACAGAUGCUGUUAAGGGGUAUGAAAAAUAUUUUUGUAAUUUAUUUUAAUGAAGCUGUUUAAAGUGGUACACUUCCCAUUAUAAUGGAUUUAGAUGAAAAUAUUUGUCGACUAUAACAGAAUGUAAUUAUUUAUUACUAAUUUUUACUGAUUGAAAUUGAUGGUGCUUAAUCUUUGAGUUGUGGAGGACCAAAGAUAUUUAUUGAGUCAACAGUUUUGUAAA